CACGUAGGGGGCGAGCGUUGUCCGGAAUCAUUGGGCGUAAAGAGCUCGUAGGCGGAUUGCUAAGUCAGGGGUGAAAUCCUGGAGCUCAACUCCAGAACUGCCUUUGAUACUGGCGAUCUUGAGUCCGGAGAGGUGAGUGAACUGCGAGUGUAGAGGUGAAAAUUCGUAGAUAUUCGCAAGAACACCAGUGGCGAAGGCGGCUCACUGGCCCGGUACUGACGCUAG
rnacentral:rRNA from 1 species